GACGAACGCUGGCGGCGUGCUUAACACAUGCAAGUCGAACGGAAAGGCCCUGCUUUUGUGGGGUGCUCGAGUGGCGAACGGGUGAGUAACACGUGAGUAACCUGCCCUUGACUUUGGGAUAACUUCAGGAAACUGGGGCUAAUACCGGAUAGGAGCUCCUGCAGCAUGGGGGGGGUUGGAAAGUUUCGGCGGUUGGGGAUGGACUCGCGGCUUAUCAGCUUGUUGGUGGGGUAGUGGCUUACCAAGGCUUUGACGGGUAGCCGGCCUGAGAGGGUGACCGGCCACAUUGGGACUGAGAUACGGACCAGACUCCUACGGGAGGCAGCAGUGGGGAAUAUUGCACAAUGGGCGGAAGCCUGAUGCAGCAACGCCGCGUGCGUGAUGACGGCCUUCGGGUUGUAAACCGCUUUCGCCUGUGACGAAGCGUGAGUGACGGUAAUGGGUAAAGAAGCACCGGCUAACUACGUG
rnacentral:rRNA from 1 species